UCAAAUCAAAUUGGGGUUAAGGAAAAAAUUGGUUUCAUGUUAACACCCAUUUUUAUUUCGUGUUAGUCAAAUGGGUUGAGGAUUGUUAACUUUAAAUGGGUUAAUAUGAACAUUAAGGUUAACCUGACCGUUAACAUUAAGCUGGAACUAAAAUAGAUGCGCAUAUUUUUACUCAUAGUUUCAAAUUAGACAAAAUAUUUUUGAUAUUUAUUGAAUACUUUUGUAUUUACUUAAGCUUUAUCUAGGACAUUAUUCAGUGGUGAUUUGCAGAAUGAUAAUGAGUUGCGGUGCACAACAGAUGUGAGCAGUGGGUUUUGUUUUGGGGUUCACAUUAGAGAGCUUGAGGAAGAAGUGAAACUUCUUUAUAUUUCUCAAUGUCUUAAGUUUUUGAUUGUUGUGCAUGCUCCUCAUUGGGGAUACAUAGAAGUUGAUACAAAGACUUUUUGGAAAGUGAUGAGGUGCUCCUACGAAUUCUAAGAAAGAACAAGUUUGAAAAUCAUAUUUAUUUUUUGUGAAAAGAGUACAUAUGCUAGCUGCGAUCUAGAUUUUGUAAAGUUUCCUAUCAAUGUGAAUUUAAUUUUGUAAAGCCUUUUAUCCAUGUGCAAUUUAUAACUAAAGUUUAGAUAUAUGUUUAUGUUAUAUAAUAUUCAUUUGAAUUAUUCACUCGGUCAGCCUUUUUUCUUUUUUCUUCCUAAUAUGCUCUUGAAUUAGCAAUCAUAUUUUUUUUUUUUGUUGAAUUUGAAUUUUUGCUUUCUUAUAUAUUUUUAACAAGAAGGGUGUUGCUUUUAAUAUAGGAUUGGAUUGUGUACGUAUUAAUCUUUUAAAAUAAUUGUUCAUUGCACAAUUUUUAUCAUUUUUUUUGAAUUGCAAAGCACGGCUGGUGUGCUUUAUUUAUUUGUUAUUUUUUUCUAUUGUGGAGCAUUGAUUGACGUACUUAAUUUGUUAUAUGUCCUUUUUUUUUUUAUAUUGUAGAAUAUUGGUUGAUGUGCUUAAUUUAUUAUUUGGCAUUUUCUUUGUAUUGCAGAGCACGAACUGGUGUGCUUAAUUAAUUUAUUUAUUUUUUCUAUUGCAAAGCAUUGGUUGGCGUAUUUCGUCUGAUUUUUAUUAUAUGUUUCUGUGUUGUGAGACUUACAUUUUAUUGUUUGUUUAAAAUCUUAAAAUUCUUCCAAUUACAUUUUCAUUUCAAUAAUAGUUUCACCGUGCCUUUAAACACGGGCAUACCCUAUUAUGAAUAAAUUACAUUAUUAGUUCCUUUAAUUUAAAGGGCAAUUACACUGCACUUGUAUUUUUAAAAAUUAAUUACUAACUAAUAGAAAAGUUUAUGACUCUUUAUUUUAAUAUAUGUAAAGUUUAUUAUUAAUUUAAAAAUAUUUUUAUAAAUCUACACUUAAUUGAUUUUUUCCUCUAAUUUAACUCAACUUUUACUUUAAUUUUCAUAAUUUUAAUUUAAAUAAUUUGAAUCUUAAAUUUCUUAUUUUAUUGCAAUCAUAUCCCUUGAUUUGUGAGAGUUGGAGGAUAUAUGAUGGGAUGAACUGUGAUGUGGUUAGUGACAGAGGGCCCAAAAUUUUUUUUCGGUGGAAUGACAUUAAUGCUUACUUUCUACAUAUGAACUACUUUUCUUCAAAAGGUAUUUCUGUUCUAUUUAGAAAGUUCUCUCUAUCUCUCUUUUUCUUAUUUCUAUUUUUUUUAAAGGUCAGUGGCACCGACUAAAAAUCAACUCUCGAUUAGGGGUAGAAUUGUAAUUUUAUCAAUAACUAAAAACCAACUUCUCAAAUGAAAAAAAUACAAAAAAAAGUUAACUUUUAACUUUUUCUACGAACCUAAAAAAGUGGCUAAAAGCCAAGUUCCUAAUACACUCCUAGGUGUUAUAAGUUUAACAUAAUUACAUCCAAUUCUUUUUAAGUAGGGUUAAAAUAAUUAUAGUUAAUGUAAACCGUAUGUAAACAUAAGAAUAAAAUGUAUAUUUCAAUAUAAAAGAAAAUAUCUUAUUUUUCUAUCUAUACGACUAAUAAAUUACUGAUAAAGAGAGUGACAAGUGUCAUAUAAAUUAAAAUCAUAAAAGAAUCUAAGCGUAAUUAUGAUAAACUUGUAGAAUUCAACACAUUUUUUCAAAGUCCAAAAAUUCCAUAAAAAUAAGAUAUGUGGAGCUUAAAGUCAGAAAGAGAGCCAAAAAAAGUGAAACCAAACUAAUGUCCUUUGGGAAGUGGGUUGACUUUUUGGCUUUUUUGGCUUUUUUAGUCUGAGCUAAAAAGCUUGGUUUGGGAAAGGCUUUUUGACAGUUUGACUUUUUUGACUUUUUUUUAGAGAGAAGAGUGUAAUGAUUAUGGAUUGGAUAUGAUGUUUUGUUUGUUGUGGCUAAAAUAGCCUGUUUUACUUUUUAUGACUAAAAUAGCCCCAAACCUAUCCAAACCCACUUGUCAAACCAUGCUUAAGCAUGCUUUUAUGGCUAAAGAACCCAAACUGUAAAUCUUAUCUCUUAUAAAACAAAUGCCAAGGGCAGCUCAAAGUUGAUCAAAUGGUAUUAGAUCUGAAGUCUUAAGGCCUUCAAAUAUGAUUUAAUUGCUAAAAUUCAUUUCAUGAUAUUAGGUAAACAAAAAGGGGUAUAAAUGGAACUUGGUAGUGUAAAUCUAACAAACAAUUACAUCAUUUACACACAUGAAAAGAAAAACAGAAUAUAUACACCAAACAAUAAGACAAAACAGGAGAGGUUGCAGUCAACAUAC